ACGUCACGUUGAAGCACUGGUUACCGCAUGAUCACCGAAGUUAAGCAACGUCGUGCCUGGUAAGUACUUAGAUGGGUAAACGCUUUGGAAUUAGUGGUGCUGUAAG